rnacentral:rRNA from 1 species
GUGACCGAGUGACAGGUGCUGCAUGGCUGUCGUCAGCUCGUGUCUGUGAGAUGUUCGGUUAAGUCCGGCAACGAGCGCAACCCACAUCCUUAGUUGCCAGCAGUUCGGCUGGGCACUCUAGGGAAACUGCCCCGUGAUAAGCGGGAGGAAGGUGUGGAUGACGUCAAGUCCUCAUGGCCUUACGGGUUGGGCUACACACGUGCUACAAUGGCAGUGACAAUGGGUUAAUCCCAAAAAACUGUCUCAGUUCGGAUUGGGGUCUGCAACUCGACCCCAUGAAGUCGGAAUCGCUAGUAAUCGCGUAACAGCAUGACGCGGUGAAUACGUUCCCGGGCCUUGUACACACCGCCCGUCACACCAUGGGAGUUGGGUUUACCCGAAGGCCGUGCGCUAACUUUUGAGGCAGCGGACCACGGUGAGCUCAGCGACUGGGGUG